GCUUGUCUCAAAGAUUAAGCCAUGCAUGUCUUAGUGUAAAUAACUCUUAUGAAACUGCGAAUGGCUCAUUAAAUCAGUUAUCAAAUACGUGAUGGUCGCCUACUACAUGGAUAACCGUAGUAAUUCUAGAGCUAAUACAUGCACAAAGGCCCAUUCACGUGGGUUGUGAUUAUUAGAUUCAAACCGGCCUCGUUCUGGUGAUUCAUAAUAACUUUGCGAAUCGCAUGGCCUUGUGCCGGCGAUGAAUCAUUCAAAUUUCUGCCCUAUCAACUUUCGAUGGUAAGGUAUUGGCUUACCAUGGUUGCAACGGGUGACGGGGAAUUAGGGUUCGAUUCCGGAGAGGGAGCCUGAGAAAUGGCUACCACAUCCAAGGAAGGCAGCAGG
rnacentral:rRNA from 1 species